UGCAGCGUCUUCCAGUAGCUAAGAGGACGUCAAUUAAGUGUGUUAUACCUCCGCUUCUCUAGCUAUAAAACGCCCCCUGUGUCCUGGUCUGGUCUGGGUCCCUCCGUGCAAUUGAGUGGCAGGAGGGGAUCAUUGGGUCCGGCCCCCAGUGGACCGUGGCUUCCUCCACAUCUUCUGUUUCAUGUCUGCCUUAUUCCUGUGUCCUCAGAUCAGGUCGGUGGUGAAAGAAGCAGAAGGCUGCAGGCCUUCCUCCCCCUCCCCUGCCAGGGCCUCAUUCGCAGCGUCCUGUCACCGGAAAUAGGAAACCACUGCAUAGUCUGUCGUGAAAAGGCUGGAAAGAAACCUACCUGAAGCCAAGGUUGGAAGGCCUGAUGCCACUGCACGUUUUGGAAACUGUUGGUCGAUCACCCAUUAAAAACUCUGGAGUCGGUUUGUCUAGCCUGCCAUGCUGUCUUAAACAGAGGUCUUCCACUCCGAGACAAUCGCAAACCAGUCACGUCUAGAUUAUCUUCAACACACGCAUUACUUUGAGCAUCUCACUCGAAGUCCCACACAGCGACUGGUAAAACAGGAGAGUGCGGGCUGCAGAAUGGACCCAAAGGAGAGGGUCCAUAAACGACUGGGAAGCCGCCUGCUCUGAGAGAUGAAGCCAGCUAGACAGCCCUGGGAUUUCCCUGG